rnacentral:lncRNA from 1 species
AAAACUCCGAGGCAGCACAGAGAAAACGUGAGAGAUAACUAAAAAUAAAAUAAAAAUCCUUCAACUUAAAGGAAUAAAAGAAAAAAGAAGACGUAUUGACUCGGUUUAGAGAGGAGAGAGAGAGAGGCUCUAGAGUCAAAUCACAGAACGUGAGAAGAUUAAAGAGAGCGACGAAAACCCUAAAACAAAAGACUUUUAUGGAGAACACAAGUGCGCCCCUUGCCUAUCUCUAUAGUUUAUUAGUGAUGUAUUGGAAGGGCAUUAACUGCUACAUCUCAACACGUGAACGACAUGCAUCUUAAACUCUUUCUCUUUAUUUCAUCUUUUUGCUAUUUGCCCAUCAUACUUUUCUCUUCUGUAUGUAUGUAUGUAGGUGGUUCUUGUAAUUUUAACUAUUUAUUAACGACCGAGUCUUUCUUCUUCUUCUUUUUUGUUUGGCAGAAGACAAAACUUCCGACUUGACCUGAUUUUUCCAGAUUCGAUUUGAUUUGAAAACCUUCCAUUGCAGACUUGCAGUCUUACAAAUCAACUUAAACUAUAUAGUUCUUGAUCACUAGGUUUGUUGUAUAUUCGUUACUUCGCUGAUUGUAAUAUGAAAAGUUUAUUGG